GAUGAAUGCUGGCGGCGUGCUUAACACAUGCAAGUCGAGCGGUAAGGCCCUUCGGGGUACACGAGCGGCGGACGGCUGAGUAACGCGUGGGAACAUGCCCUAAAGUGAGGAAUAACCGCCCGAAAGGGUGGCUAAUGCCGCAUAUGAUCUUCGGAUUAAAGGAUUUAUCCGCUUUAGGAGUGGCCUGCGUACGAUUAGACUAUUGGUGAGGUGAUGGCUUACCAAGGCGACGAUCGUUAGCUGGUCUGAGAGGAUGACCAGCCAGACUGGAACUGAGACACAGUCCAGACUCCUACGGGAGGCAGCAGUGAGGAAUCUUCCACAAUGGGCGAAAGCCUGAUGGAGCAACGCCGCUUGCAGGAUGAAGGCCCUCGGGUCGUAAACUGCUUUUAUGAGUGAAGAAUAUGACGGUAACUCAUGAAUAAGCACCGGCUAACUACGUGCCAGCCGCCGCGGUA
rnacentral:rRNA from 1 species